UACAGAGGUCUCAAGCGUUGUUCGGAUUCAUUGGGCGUAAAGGGUGCGUAGGCGGCGCGAUAAGUCGGGUGUGAAAUCUCGGAGCUUAACUCCGAAACUGCAUUCGAUACUGCCGUGCUUGAGGACUGGAGAGGAGACUGGAAUUUACGGUGUAGCGGUGAAAUGCGUAGAUAUCGGGAGGAACACCGGUGGCGAAGGCGGUUCUCUGGGCAUUACCUGACGCUGAGGAGCGAAAGUGUGGGGAGCGAACAGG
rnacentral:rRNA from 1 species